AUUAGUAAAUAUAUACUAAAAAUUUACUGAAUUAUUGGUAUUUGAAAAUACAAGAUUGACGAAUAUUUUUUCAAUAUAGUUUUGGAAGUACAUGGAAAUAUCAAAAUCAAACAUGAAUAAAUGUUGAUUAACUCCCCUUCAUGAGACCAAAUUUCAUGACAAUCUGACUAUGAAAUAUUGUCUCAAUAAUCACAAAAUAUGACCA
rnacentral:lncRNA from 1 species